CCUCCCACAUGAUGAGGACGCAGCUAGUUUCACCGUGCUGCUUAAGCAGGAGAACAAAUGAGAUGCACUGAGACAGAGAAGUCCCUCCUGGUCACAGAAUGGGCAGGAGGAACACCCUUUGCUCCUCUAAAUUUUUAAGGGCAAAGGCAGGGGUUUAAUCACAUCAAUGAAGGGCAGCUGAGUCCAGGUGUAGGGGAUGCUUGGUUCAUGCUCUGCUCAGCUCCUUUUCAAAUUUUUCAUCCUCUUUUUGGGGGAAAGCACAAAAAGACUAUGGUCAGGUUGCAAGACUGACUGCGUUGCAUGGACUAGUUAGCAAUAGGCUUGCUGUAAACUAGAAAAAGCAAAAUUCCCUCUAUAAAAUGGGAAUAAUGAUGCUCUUUCCCCUUCUAAAUGUUUUGAAAUAUACAGAUGAAAGUCUUCAAUAGGAAGUCAGCUCCUAUUUUAAAACAAGCCUUCAAUAUUGUUUGCCUGCAAAGAAACAAAGGUUACAUGUUUCAAAAGUUUGCACAAUUCCUUCCCUUAGUGAGUAGGACAGUGUUUGAGUAAGAUUCGUCUGUUCUCCCCGUGGUCAGAAAAGGGAACCACAUGGACGUGACCAGUUGCGUAUGAGAAUGGAUGAACCACUGCAGAUGGGGGUCCCUGGAGGCUUCAGCUCCUCUGAUCUGGGGCUGAUGCAGAACUGAAAGCAUGUUUCUGCUCUGUGCCUUGUAUCUGCACUAAUGCGAGGAGGUGAAUAGCCAGUUCAGGGAACUAAUCUAGCUGAAAUCUUUCAAAAACAGCGAUGAAAUUUUAGGAAGAUCAGCUCUCAGAAAAGGAUCACCUCUGCAUGUACAAAAGAGUAGGUACAUAGUACUAAGCAUAUAGAAAGGAGUAUGUACUUGCCUUUAUCAGUGCUGCUGAUUCAGAUGCCCUCAAAUACAUGCUUGGACUACAUUAAGAAUUUAUCAAGGAAGUUCAGCUAGAAAUUAAGCUACAAAUAUAAUAUCUGUAAAGAAACAUCA